CCAUCCGCAGGUCCAGUCCCUCCUGCAGCCAGAUUUUGUCCAUGAUUUUUAUCAUUUGUAAAGCCAACAUAUCUUGUCGCAGAUCUUCUCCAACCUUAAAUAAAAAGCAGAAAAAGGAUACUUUGAACAAUGAACUAGACAGGAGUGUUGUGAAGAUAAAUACAUUAAAGAUUGUGAAGCACUAAGAUAUGACCACAAUGGGAGCCAUCAUGAAAUUCAGAACUCCAAUGUUUUCUUGUUCCAGCCAGCCUUCUGCUUGCAUUUAUAACUUCAGCCUCAAAAGGGAAUGGGGUUAUAAUCUUAUUUUACAACCUUAUGCAUUACACAAUACAUAUACUAAGUGUUGUAUUAAGCAUGUAAGACAGCGUAUGCAACUUGUGCUUCAGAGGCUUUAAAGACUGUCAGAUCUUGCACGUUUUGCAACUUCGCUUUCACUAACCUUCCCAGUUGCAUAAAAACUCAUAUUUUAAAAUAUAGAGUCUUUGCCUCCCUAGCAUGGAGGAACACAUCCAAUCACACAGCUGGUUAGCUCCAUCCCACAAUAUACACUUCAAAAUAUUAGCAGCCAGUCUUGUACAUUUCCUUCUCCCUUGACCAUUGCUGGAGGCUGUCUAACUUUUCCAUUCACGUACUUUGAAACUUCCUCUGUUCUCACACAAUGUUUUUAUGACUUAUGUAUGACCAGGUCCUUGCUGCUAUGCAAGAAGAGCUCCACUGGGUUUUGAUGAAGUAGCAAAUUAAAAUCAGACCUUGGUCUAACUGUGUAACAAAUAUUUCCAUAAUCUUUGUCUCUCUGCUCAACUAAUUUAAUUUUAUUGUCUAGUUCUAAAGGCUCUUAUUAAAAAAGCUCCCCACCAGUGUAAUGCGUUUCAUAUAUAUGAAGUAUUCCUUUCUACACGUUGAUCAUUUUCAGGAAUUACAAGCAUGUAAUGCUGAUUUUAAAAUCUUUCCAUAUUGUACCUUGACAUUUAAUUCUUUUGCCACAAGGCUGGGACUGAGAGGCAAACGGCAUUUGUUCUUCAGGAAAAAGGACUGUACACGUUCCAUACCACUUUGCAGGACAACCUGAGAGCAAAAAAAAUAAAAAUAAAAAUAAAUGCAGAACUGUCAUUAAUCCAUUAAAAUACCAACAGGGAUAUUUUUGACAAGCAAAGUAAUUGUGUAGAACAGCAGAGCCAAUGCCCUAAUUCCUGAGGAGUGCCAUGGGAUUUUAAGUGACCACAGUCACAACUUCUAUUUUAUUUCUCAUCCAAAAAACAUAACCCCACCAGUACAGCCCUAAUGCCAUGCCAGUGAAGUUUUUCAUUGUCAGUUCCUUUCCUCGUAUCAUAGCUACUCCUCCACCAAAGCUACAGCUAACAGUUGAAGAUUAGUCAUUGACAAAAAUCUGUUGAUUUUUUUUUAUUACUCUGUUGAAGAAACAUUUAACAUCUGUUGAUGAAAAACAUCUAACUAUACUUUUAUACAGUGCUGUAUUUAAUGUGAAAGCUGAGUAAAUUUACUUUGAAAUUCAAGUCAGUUGUAUCCCUCUUUAACACACAAAAUUAAAAGUUACGCAUACGCACCUGCC